ACCCACGCUCUGUGGACGCGCUGCACCGGGGGGAGGCUGCGCCGCCGACGCCGCUGGCCGGGGCCUUACGGGCCGCCCCGGGUCCCCUCGCUCGGCGCCCGCGCCCCCUCACCUGGGCCGCCCCUCGCCUCGGCCGCCGCCGCUGGAGCCGGCGCCCUGUCCUACGAGGGGCCUGUGCCGCGCGUGCCCGGCGGCCGGGGCUGACUCGCGGCCUCGGGGUGCAGCGCCCGCCCUCACGCGGCCCGGGGCGCCUCGCUGGCCGCAGGGGGGCUCCGGGCGCGGCCCUCACGUGGCUGCUGCAGUGGCCCCGCCCGCCGCCCCCGCCAGGCGCCUCUUCAGCUCUCAGGAACCUGCUCCGAUAUCCCUUCCUCUGGAAGCUUUGCGACGCCUCGUGGGAGGACCGCGGCUCCCUCCUCCGGAUCCGUCGGCACCACGUGCUCCAGCCCCUGGGUCUUCAUCAGUAGCUGAGUGGAAUGUCUCCAUCCAGGCGUUAGGAAAAAAAUGUCAUGGCAAAUAGAGGCUAAACAGACCAGAGAAUGCAAGAAGGAUAACUUGAGCAAAAGAAACGGCUUGUGCAAUGAUUCUGUGUCGAACGCUAUGCCAGGAUCUAGGAAUACCAGGAUGAAUGAGAGCUGGGUCCUACUCUCAGAGAGAACUGACCUAAUGGGUGAUUUGAGAAUGUAAAUCCAUGGGUGCAGUGGAAUGUCGGGGGCUCUGCAGCUCAAACAUCUGUUCAGGCUACCAUAGGGCACAAGGAAAGAGCUAGCCUGGCCAAUUCUGCUGUAGGGUGGGGGCAGAGCUACCAGGAAAUGAAGUCAGAGCACUGGGGAAACCCAAGGCACUAUGGAAACUAAACACUUCAUCACGGACUGUGUUAGUGCCUCAGGAAAAUAUCUCUUUCUGAGCCUUGGUUUCCUCAACUGAAAAUGAUGUGGAUGAUUUUGAGCUGUUCUCUCUGCCUCAAAGCAUUGUUGUGAAAGAGAAAUGUUCAACAAAUAUGCCAAACUGUUAACAUGGUUUGGCAUUGGUGGUGGGAUUGUGGGUGACUAUUAUUCUGUUCUUAAUAUUCUGAAUUACCCAAUUUUAUAUAAUAAACAAGUAUUUUAUAGUCCUCUUUUUUUGUAA
rnacentral:lncRNA from 12 species